rnacentral:rRNA from 1 species
GACGAACGCUGGCGGCGUGCCUAAUACAUGCAAGUAGAACGCUGAAGGAGGAGCUUGCUUCUCUGGAUGAGUUGCGAACGGGUGAGUAACGCGUAGGUAACCUGCCUGGUAGCGGGGGAUAACUAUUGGAAACGAUAGCUAAUACCGCAUAAUAGUAGAUGUUGCAUGACAUUUGCUUAAAAGGUGCAAUUGCAUCACUACCAGAUGGACCUGCGUUGUAUUAGCUAGUUGGUGGGGUAACGGCUCACCAAGGCGACGAUACAUAGCCGACCUGAGAGGGUGAUCGGCCACACUGGGACUGAGACACGGCCCAGACUCCUACGGGAGGCAGCAGUAGGGAAUCUUCGGCAAUGGACGGAAGUCUGACCGAGCAACGCCGCGUGAGAGAAGAAGGUUUUCGGAUCGUAAAGCUCUGUUGUAAGAGAAGAACGAGUGUGAGAGUGGAAAGUUCACACUGUGACGGUAUCUUACCAGAAAGGGACGGCUAACUACGUG